rnacentral:misc_RNA from 1 species
GUUACUUCUAAACAUUUAAAAUUCAGAUUUUCAUCAUCAACAUAAACAAACCAAGGAUAUUCGAUCCUUCACGCCUGGGCAUCAUGGCCCACCGAAUAUAUAUUUAAAAAAGAAGAUUUCAAAAUAUUCCUCCUAAAUUACCAACAUAACCUUUUAUUAAACCCCAGCCGCUUGACCGGGUUUUACUUGAAAAUAAAAACACAGUAGUAGACUAGUCCAAACUUCCAUAAAUAUCGCAACGGCCAACGCCGCCGCUGGCGGCGGCGCCGCUUACUUACCUCCAUCGGCCUUCUCCUCCUCCUCCACCUCGAACGCAUCCACCGGGAAAGACCUCGACAGCCCGGACGGAGUCUUGAACGUGAUCUUCCCCGACGCCGGGUUAUCAAUAUACAUCUCCGACAACGUCACCCAGAUCAGCAUCUCCUUGCUCUUCACGCCGGUCAUCCGCUUCAUCUUCCGAUCCUCGACGAAUGCCGUCACCUCCGGCGCGUAAGAGACGGGCUUCUUGAUCUUCUUGAAGUAGUGAUCGGCCGUCUUCGCCUGCUUCAGCCAGACGAAGCCGGUGGCGCGGUUGUACCCGACCUCCUCCAGCACCGGCAGCGGCAGCAGGCCGCGGGGGAGGUGCAGCUCCGACAGCAGCUCCAUGGACUUCUCCUUGCAGAUUUGGGCGCCCGUGUAGACCUCGGCGCCCUCGCGGUGGCUCUCGAUCGAGGAUUGGAGGGUCGCCAUCGCCGCCGCCGGUGAGGAUGGGAUUCAAAUUGGGAUUGAG